AUUAUAUGCCAUAAACUUAUUACAUGAAAAAUAGUUUAAACGUAGAAAUUAUAAUUAAUUAAGUUGUCAUAACCACUAUAACCAUUUUAUUACGACUUCUUUUUCAUUCAUAAACAGACAGUUUGGUAUUUUUAUUGAUUUUCAUAAUAACUAUUAAAAAUUAUAAAGUGUAACAUUACUUUUCUAGAUUCUUAAAGAAAAAUAAAUCAAUCAUGUUACAAACAAAUGUAGCUAAACACAUUCUUUUUCAAUUGAUCGUUGUGUAUAUAAGCAAUUCAUAUACGUCAACUUCAAAUAACAUAGAAGUAGAUACAAAACUGUUGUAUAUUCUCACUCACAAUAUAAAUGACCUACUUAUGUCAUAUGAUAAUAAAGGUAAAUAAAUUCUAUCAACAUUUAGUAU